GACGAACGCUGGCGGCGUGCUUAACACAUGCAAGUCGAACGGAAAGGCCCUGCUUUUGUGGGGUGCUCGAUUGGCGAACGGGUGAGUAACACGUGAGUAACCUGCCCUUGACUUUGGGAUAACAUCAGGAAACUGGGGCUAAUACCGGAUAGGAGCUCCUGCUGCAUGGUGGGGGUUGGAAAGUUUCGGCGGUUGGGGAUGGACUCGAGGCUUAUCAGCUUGUUGGUGGGGUAGUGGCUUACCAAGGCUUUGACGGGUAGCCGGCCUGAGAGGGUGACCGGCCACAAUGGGACUGAGGUACGGCCCAGAAUCCUACGGGAGGCAGCAGUGGGGAAUAUUGCGCAAUGGGCGGAAGCCUGAUGCAGCAACGCCGCGUGCGGGAUGACGGCCUUCGGGUUGUAAACCGCUGUCGCCUGUGACGAAGCGUGAGUGACGGUAAUGGGUAAAGAAGCACCGGCUAACUACGUG
rnacentral:rRNA from 1 species